GGAAUAGAUGACGCAUAUGAGCGGAUGCGGUGACGCCCUCUGAAAGGGGGUGACGCCAAUGACAGUAUUUCAAGCCAUGACACUUAUGAUAAGUUUUGGAGUGCCUAUCUUGAUGCUGUCAGAUAGAAAGAAAUAAUCCGCCUCAUAUGCUCUUGCAGGAGCUGAGACGGAUUACCGUGAAUAAGUAAUUCAGUUAUAAGCACUGCAUCCGCUCUACGCGGAUAUUGCCAUGCCGUCAGUGUUCGCAGCGCUGGCG
rnacentral:sRNA from 1 species